rnacentral:siRNA from 1 species
UUGGUGAGGAGAGUAUCAGCUC